rnacentral:lncRNA from 1 species
AUUUCUCUUCCUUGCUGUCUCUUUAUCGCAUGAUCAGGUAGAGGCCUACGAUGUUAAAGCCGGCCCGGUAAGGCCUAUGGUGAAGAGAGAUGAGAGGAGAUCACUCAUUGAGACAGAAUAUGGAAGAAUCUCAGCGGCCAAAAUCAGUAGUACUGAUGGAACAAGACGCCCUUAUUAUCUUCAGUUCAUCACAUUGGAGCCUAACUCUCUCUUUCUUCCAGCUCUUCUUCAUUCUGACAUGGUCUUUUAUGUCCACACAGGUACAUUAAUUUUGUAUGCGAACAUUAAGUUUGACAUGAUACUAACCUAUUAGCUAUACUAAAUAAUAAAUAUACCUGCAUACACGUUUUAAUUUUUUGUGUACAUGCAUGUGUAGGGAGGGGGAGGCUGAGCUGGGCCGAUGAAGAUGACAUAAGAACACUGGACAUUAGGCGAGGAGAUGUUUACAGGCUGCAGCCUGGUUCUGUUUUUUAUAUUGAAAGCAACUUGGAGCAGGAACGAGAGAAACUUAGAAUCUAUGCUAU